rnacentral:rRNA from 1 species
CCUACGGGUGGCAGCAGUGAGGAAUAUUGGUCAAUGGGCGAGAGCCUGAACCAGCCAAGUCGCGUGAGGGAGUACUGCCCUAUGGGUUGUAGACCUCUUUUGUCGGGGAGCAAAAGCCGGACGUGUCCGGCUGUGAGAGUACCCGAAGAAAAAGCAUCGGCUAACUCCGUGCCAGCAGCCGCGGUAAUACGGAGGAUGGGAGCGGUAUCCGGGUUUAUUGGGGUUAAAGGGUGCGGAGGCGGGUUUUUAAGGCAGAGGUUAAAUCGUGGGGCUCAACCCCAUCCAGCCGUUGAAACUGGGGAUCUAGAGUGUGCGAGAGGUAUGCGGAAUGCGUGGUGUAGCGGUGAAAUGCAUAGAUAUCACGCAGAACCCCGAUUGCGAAGGCAGCAUACCGGUGCACAACUGACGCUCAGGCACGAAAGCGUGGGUAUCGAACAGGAUUAGAUACCCGGGUAGUC